rnacentral:rRNA from 1 species
GAUGAACGCUGGCGGCGUGCCUAAUACAUGCAAGUCGAGCGAACAGACGAGGAGCUUGCUCCUCUGACGUUAGCGGCGGACGGGUGAGUAACACGUGGAUAACCUACCUAUAAGACUGGGAUAACUUCGGGAAACCGGAGCUAAUACCGGAUAACAUGUUGAACCGCAUGGUUCAACAGUGAAAGACGGUUUUGCUGUCACUUAUAGAUGAAUCCGCGUCGCAUUAGCUAGUUGGUAAGGUAACGGCUUACCAAGGCAACGAUGCGUAGCCGACCUGAGAGGGUGAUCGGCCACACUGGAACUGAGACACGGUCCAGACUCCUACGGGAGGCAGCAGUAGGGAAUCUUCCGCAAUGGGCGAAAGCCUGACGGAGCAACGCCGCGUGAGUGAAGAAGGUCUUCGGAUCGUAAAACUCUGUUAUUAGGGAAGAACAAAUGUGUAAGUAACUAUGCACGUCUUGACGGUACCUAAUCAGAAAGCCACGGCUAACUACGUG